rnacentral:rRNA from 1 species
GGCGAACGGGUGAGUAACACGUGAGCAACCUGCCCUGGACUCUGGGAUAAGCGCUGGAAACGGCGUCUAAUACUGGAUAUGAGACGUGAUCGCAUGGUCGUGUUUGGAAAGAUUUUUCGGUCUGGGAUGGGCUCGCGGCCUAUCAGCUUGUUGGUGAGGUAAUGGCUCACCAAGGCGUCGACGGGUAGCCGGCCUGAGAGGGUGACCGGCCACACUGGGACUGAGACACGGCCCAGACUCCUACGGGAGGCAGCAGUGGGGAAUAUUGCACAAUGGGCGGAAGCCUGAUGCAGCAACGCCGCGUGAGGGAUGACGGCCUUCGGGUUGUAAACCUCUUUUAGCAGGGAAGAAGCGAAAGUGACGGUACCUGCAGAAAAAGCGCCGGCUAACUACGUGCCAGCAGCCGCGGUAAUACGUAGGGCGCAAGCGUUAUCCGGAAUUAUUGGGCGUAAAGAGCUCGUAGGCGGUUUGUCGCGUCUGCUGUGAAAUCCCGAGGCUCAACCUCGGGUCUGCAGUGGGUACGGGCAGACUAGAGUGCGGUAGGGGAGAUUGGAAUUCCUGGUGUAGCGGUGGAAUGCGCAGAUAUCAGGAGGAACACCGAUGGCGAAGGCAGAUCUCUGGGCCGUAACUGACGCUGAGGAGCGAAAGGGUGGGGAGCAAACAGGCUUAGAUACCCUGGU